UCCCUGCGGGGGAAAGAUUUAUCGCUAUUAGAUGAGCCUACGUUAGAUUAGCUAGUUGGUAAGGUAAUGGCUUACCAAGGCUGUGAUCUAUAGCUGGUCUGAGAGGACGAUCAGCCACACUGGAACUGAGAUACGGUCCAGACUCCUACGGGAGGCAGCAGUGGGGAAUAUUGGACAAUGGGCGAAAGCCUGAUCCAGCUAUGCCGCGUGAGUGAAGAAGGCCUUCGGGUUGUAAAACUCUUUCAAUAGGGAAGAUAAUGACGGUACCUAUAGAAGAAGUCCCGGCAAACUCCGUGCCAGCAGCCGCGGUAAUACGGAGGGGGCAAGCGUUGUUCGGAAUUAUUGGGCGUAAAGGGCACGUAGGUGGACUGGUAAGUUAAAAGUGAAAUACCAAAGCUCAACUUUGGAGCUGCUUUUAAUACUGCCAGACUAGAGGUCGAAAGAGGAUAGCGGAAUUCCUAGUGUAGAGGUGAAAUUCGUAGAUAUUAGGAGGAACACCAGUGGCGAAGGCGGCUAUCUGGUUCGAUAC
rnacentral:rRNA from 1 species